CUCGGCAGACGGUGGCUGCCCCUCCGAGCUGCCAUCGCCGGCGCCGCCCCGCCGCCGCCGCCGCCCGCCCCGCGCCCCGCGUCUUCCUGGACAGCCAUUUUUACCCGAGUAGGCGGCCCAGUCCCAGAGCGGGCUCGUUCAAACCUUCUCCGCCUCUCCCGCCCGCACCCAGGGAUCCCUCGGCCUCCUCGGGGAGACGUGGCUCCCGAGGGACCGGCGGAGUAACGGCUUUUUCGGUCUUGGAACGGACCAGAACCAAUUGUUACCAAACAAGCGAUAAUGCGGGCCGAGGUUGCGCGGGUCCUGGCCGAGGGCGGGCCCAGGGAAAGCGGCCUGGGCGGGCGGCGCUGCCGUUCCGGAGCUCGGAGGGUGGUAGCACGGCCACUGUCCCGGGACACGGCGAGCGCUUUCCUCCCUCGCUCUCCCUCCCCGCCCCGCCGCAACACCCCCAGAGUCCGGCUCCAGGGUGGCUGGAAAGCAGGGAAGGGGUAGGGGGAGGGAGCCGGAGGAUAAGAGGGGCUGGCCAAAUAUCUUACCUUGUACUCCGCCGGGAGCUGGGCGGGCUGGGUGGCCUGGGGAGGGGGAAAAGGGUCGGGGGAGGGGGCGGGGAAAGGGGGGGAGCCCCUGUGAGGUGUAGCUUCGGAGCAGCUCCCGCCGCCGCCACAGCCACCGCCUCCUUUCCGAUUCACUCAAACAAACAAGAUGGCCGCCGUUACGCCGCGGCUCUUCCUGCCGCCCAAAACCUCGGUUCAAAUCGGCAGGAUGUUUACGGUCAAAAUGUUGUGCAGCCCCGAACUGAGCAUGCGUCAAGGUGAUUUUUGGCCAAAGCGUCUUCAAGCUUAGAGGACCCGGCAGACAGCGCACGCGUAGUGCUUGCCAGUGAAGUGACUUAAUCGUUAUCCUUGUGCUAGCUUUAGAGGGAAGAGCUGUCGUUGUUGCCACGACACAAACUCAUUUUAAUGGUUCUGUAGUGACGAAGGUAGCUUAAACAAACUCCAUAAAAUCUAGCGGUUUAUUCAGUCAACCUAGAUGGUCUUCCCUGAACCAUAUAUUGUGAUAGUUGGGGUCGGGGACAUAGUGAUGAAUACAACAGAGAUAGAACCUGCCUCCAUGAAGCUUUCAGAAUAGCUAGGGAGGGAUUUUUGAAUUUUUGGACAGGCUUGUGGCACAAAAAAAGCCAAAUGUACAAGGAGACCAAAAAGUAGGGCAGUUGGAAGAGAAGGUCUUUCUUAAGGAAUUUUGCAGCUGGGAUGUGGAGGUUGAAUCCCAGGAAGAGAGAACAGCGUGUACAAAAGUCCUGUGGCAGUAGAGAACAAGCUAGGGACAGAGGAAAAAAAGAAAGUCAUGUGUCUGCACACUGAUGGAGGAUUCUGCAUUUUAGAAAGGUCAUCCAGGCAUAUUGGAGAGGACUAGAGUAAAUGACCAAGUGUAGUGUGUGUGUGUGUGUGUGUGUGUGUGUGUGUGUGUGUGUGUUUUAAAG
rnacentral:lncRNA from 1 species